UACGUGGGGGCCAGCGUUGUCCGGAUUUAUUGGGCGUAAAGAGCGUGUAGGCGGCCCGACAGGUCCGUUGUGAAAACUAGAGGCUUAACCUCUAGACGUCGAUGGAAACCGUUUGGCUAGAGUCCGGAAGAGGAGAAUGGAAUUCCUGGUGUAGCGGUGAAAUGCGCAGAUAUCAGGAAGAACACCCGUGGCUAAGGCGGUUCUCUAGUACGGUACUGACGCUGAGACGCGAAAGCGUGGGGAGCGAACAGG
rnacentral:rRNA from 1 species